rnacentral:rRNA from 1 species
AUUGAACGCUGGCGGCAGGCUUAACACAUGCAAGUCGAGCGGAGAUGAGGUGCUUGCACCUUAUCUUAGCGGCGGACGGGUGAGUAAUGCUUAGGAAUCUGCCUAUUAGUGGGGGACAACAUUCCGAAAGGAAUGCUAAUACCGCAUACGUCCUACGGGAGAAAGCAGAGGAUCUUCGGACCUUGCGCUAAUAGAUGAGCCUAAGUCGGAUUAGCUAGUUGGUGGGGUAAAGGCCUACCAAGGCGACGAUCUGUAGCGGGUCUGAGAGGAUGAUCCGCCACACUGGGACUGAGACACGGCCCAGACUCCUACGGGAGGCAGCAGUGGGGAAUAUUGGACAAUGGGGGGAACCCUGAUCCAGCCAUGCCGCGUGUGUGAAGAAGGCCUUAUGGUUGUAAAGCACUUUAAGCGAGGAGGAGGCUACUGAGACUAAUACUCUUAGAUAGUGGACGUUACUCGCAGAAUAAGCACCGGCUAACUCUGUGCCAGCCGCCGCGGUAACAC